AACGCUAGCUACAGGCUUAACACAUGCAAAUCGAGGGGAAACGACAUCGAAAGCUUGCUUUUGAUGGGCGUCGACCGGCGCACGGGUGAGUAACGCGUAUCCAACCUGCCCACCACUUGGGGAUAACCUUGCGAAAGUAAGACUAAUACCCAAUGACGUCUCUAGAAGACAUCUGAAAGGGAUUAAAGAUUUAUCGGUGAUGGAUGGGGAUGCGUCUGAUUAGCUUGUUGGUGGGGUAACGGCCCACCAAGGCAACGAUCAGUAGGGGUUCUGAGAGGAAGGUCCCCCACAUUGGAACUGAGACACGGUCCAAACUCCUACGGGAGGCAGCAGUGAGGAAUAUUGGUCAAUGGACGAGAGUCUGAACCAGCCAAGUAGCGUGCAGGAUGACGGCUCUAUGGGUUGUAAACUGCUUUUAUAAGGGAAUAAAGUGAGAGUCGUGACUCUUUUUGCAUGUACCUUAUGAAUAAGGACCGGCUAAUUCCGUGCCAGCAGCCGCGGUAAUACGGAAGGUCCGGGCGUUAUCCGGAUUUAUUGGGUUUAAAGGGGGCGUAGGCCGGAGAUUAAGCGUAUUGUGAAAUGUAGACGCUCAACGUCUGCACUGCAGCGCGAACUGGUUUCCUUGAGUACGCACAAAGUGGGCGGAAUUCGUGGUGUAGCGGUGAAAUGCUUAGAUAUCACGAAGAACUCCGAUUG
rnacentral:rRNA from 1 species